rnacentral:lncRNA from 1 species
GUCCUCCUCCUCAUCCUCUGCUCCUUUCCAGCAGCUGAUGGAUGAGAGCAGGAUGUCCUAGCAUUCUGAAAUAAAAAAAUAAAAUAUUAUUAUUAAUUUUUAAUAUGAAAGUGUAUCUUUCAAUAUGGAGGAGUAUCUUUCGAUACACUCCUUCAAUUUUUGAACAGAUUAUUUCUAUAUAUUUCAUUCGAUGAUACAGAACUAUAGACACCUUCGGCCUAUCAAUUGGAUGGUUAGAUUGAAUUUUUAGCCCCU